AGAGUUUGAUCCUGGCUCAGAAUCAACGCUGGCGGCGUGCCUAAUACAUGCAAGUCGUACGCGAAGACCCCGCAAGGGGUUGUUAGCGUGGCAAACGGGUGAGUAACGCGUGGGCGACCUACCUCAGAGUGGGGGAUAACCUUCCGAAAGGAGGGCUAAUACCGCAUGACAUGCUCUGUUUAGAUACAGGGACAUCAAAGCCGGGGAUCGCAAGACCUGGCGCUUGGAGAGGGGCCUACGUCCGAUUAGCUAGUUGGUGGGGUAACGGCUCACCAAGGCGACGAUCGGUAUCCGGCCUGAGAGGGCGGACGGACACACUGGGACUGAGACACGGCCCAGACUCCUACGGGAGGCAGCAGUAGGGAAUUGUUCGCAAUGGGCGCAAGCCUGACGACGCAACGCCGCGUGGAGGAUGAAGGACUUCGGUCCGUAAACUCCUUUCGACCGAGAUGAACAGCUUUUGACCUAAUACGUCGAGAGCCUGACAGUAUCGAGGGAAGCAGCCCCGGCUAACUCCGUGCCAGCCGCCGCGGUAAUAC
rnacentral:rRNA from 1 species